rnacentral:rRNA from 1 species
GACGAACGCUGGCGGCGUGCUUAACACAUGCAAGUCGAACGGAAAGGCCCUGCUUUUGUGUGGUGCUCGAGUGGCGAACGGGUGAGUAACACGUGAGUAACCUUCCCUUGACUUUGGGAUAACUUCAGGCAACUGGUGCUACUACCGGAUAGGAGCUCCUGCUGCAUGGUGGGGGUUGGAAAGUUUCGGCGGUUGGGGAUGGACUCGCGGCUUAUCAGCUUGUUGGUGGGGUAGUUGCUUACCAAGGCUUUGACGGGUAGCCGGCCUGAGAGGGUGACCGGCCACAUUGGGACUGAGAGACGGCCCAGACGCCUACGGGAGGCAGCAGUGGGGAAUAUUGCACAAUGGGGGGAAGCCUGAUGAAGCAACGCCGCGUGCGGGAUGACGGCCUUCGGGUUGUAAACCGCUUUCGCCUGUGACGAAGCGUGAGUGACGGUAAUGGGUAAAGAAGCACCGGCUAACUACGUG